AUAUUCCUGGGUUAUUCGUUGAGGAAUCAUAAUUGAACCUACAGCACUUAAAUGGGAAUUCGGAGUUUUCGAAACGUUAUGUCAGGCCUUCGGAGCAGAGGAAGACAGAGGUUAGAAACAGAGUACCCACCUAUCAUUGAGAUAGGGAAUCAAUUAUCUCCUUGACGGUACCCCGGGUAUCAA
rnacentral:other from 1 species